GGCNUAACACAUGCAAGUCGAGCGGUAACGAGGUUAUCUGAACCUUCGGGGAACGAUAACGGCCGUCGAGCGGCGGACGGGUGAGUAAUGCCUAGGAAAUUGCCCUGAUGUGGGGGAUUAACAGUUGAAACGAUGGCUAAUACCGCAUGAUGCCUACGGGCCAAAGAGGGGGACCUUCGGGCCUCUCGCGUCAGGAUAUGCCUAGGUGGGAUUAGCUAGUUGGUGAGGUAAGGGCUCACCAAGGCGACGAUCCCUAGCUGGUCUGAGAGGAUGAUCAGCCACACUGGAACUGAGACACGGUCCAGACUCCUACGGGAGGCAGCAGUGGGGAAUAUUGCACAAUGGGCGCAAGCCUGAUGCAGCCAUGCCGCGUGUGUGAAGAAGGCCUUCGGGUUGUAAAGCACUUUCAGUCAGUGAGGAAGGCGGCAGCGUUAAUAGCCUGCUAUCGUUUGACGUUAGCGACAGAAGAAGCACCGGCUAACUCCGUGCCAGCAGCCGCGGUAAUACGGAGGGUGCGAGCGUUAAUCGGAAUUACUGGGCGUAAAGCGCAUGCAGGUGGUUUGUUAAGUCAGAUGUGAAAGCCCG
rnacentral:rRNA from 1 species